CCAAUAGCGUAUAUUAAAGUUGUUGCAGUUAAAAAGCUCGUAGUUGAAUUUCGGGAUCAAUAUAUCGGUCGUGCCAUUGGUACGUACUGGUAUCAUUGGUUUCUCCUUUCUGACGAACCAUGAUGUCAUUAAUUUGGUGUUAUGGGAAGUUAGGACUGUUACUUUGAAAAAAUUAGAGUGUUUAAAGCAGGCUUUAGCUUGAAUACAUUAGCAUGGAAUAAUGAAAUAGGACGUUCGAACCUAUUUUGUUGGUUUCUAGGAUCAACGUAAUGAUUAAUAGGGAUAGUUGGGGGCAUUAGUAUUCAAUUGUCAGAGGUGAAAUUCUUGGAUUUAUUGAAGACUAACUACUGCGAAAGCAUUUGCCAAGGAUGUUUUCAUUAAUCAAGAACGAAAGUUAGGGGAUCGAAGACGAUCAGAUACCGUCGUAGUCUUAACCAUAAACUAUGCCGACUAGGGAUCGGAUGAUGUUAAUUUUUUAAUGACUCAUUCGGCGCCUUACGGGAAACAAAGUGUUUGGGUU
rnacentral:misc_RNA from 1 species